CCCGAAUUAUAAACAGAAAAGGUAAACAGCAAUACAUCCACACGAUGAAAGUCGCAGAAUAUAUCAUAGAAAACAAUUCACUAACCAUAACAGAUGAAGCAAAGCGAUGUUUCAUUGAGGAUGGAUGUAUUAUUGUAAGAGGUUUACUAAGUAAGGCAGAACUGCUAAAAGUGGAGAAAGCCGUCGAAAACCCA